rnacentral:lncRNA from 1 species
CGGAGCAAUUGGAUGGCUGAAGAGUACACAGAUUAAUUGGGCAGCUAGAAAAACCCUUUAAAAAAUCAUCUAAGAGGUGAGCUGCAAGUAGAACAGGUCAAAAGAGCAUGAAAUUGUUGCCCAUGAAAUCGAAACAUGUGCUGAACUAUUUGGCAAAAGGCAUUCAAAUUUGUCCAUGAAAUACAUGCUAAACCACCUAGAAUGCAAUUUUACUAAGGUAGUAGAUAUAUCUGGCAUAUACUAUCUGUAAAAUAAUAUGUGUAUUCAUGUACUGAAUACUUCAUAUGGCAAGAAACCUUUGUUAAAACUAAAAACUGCAUACCAUGAUAGAACUGCAUCAAAUGCAUAAGCAAAAAAAAGGUGACAUGGAGAAGAGGCUAAUAAUUUCUGGCAAAUCGGAGUAGAAUAUUUUUGAGGCUACAAACCUGCACCUGUCUCCAGAAGCUGUAGGUAAGUCUGGAAACUUACAAAAAGUUACAUAACUAAUGCAGAUGAGAGUGACAGGAAAGGCCAUCAGUAAGGUAAAUCAUCAUAUAAAUCCUUGUAGUAGCGCAACAGAUUCACUUGCAGCUGAGUGUAUCCAUGUAUGAACAUAGGCUUCGUCUUCCUAUGUUCGAGGCAACCAUCAAGCGUGGAUGACCCAGAAAAUAAAGAAAGCAACACAAUAUAACUCGUUCUUUUACAGCAAAGUGAUAAGCUAAUAUGUAAGAUGCAACGAUUAAUUCUUUAAUACAAAAUAAUUAGGCAUGUGAGAAACUAAGAACCUAUCUAGACUUAAGCAUUAGUUAACUCUACAACAAAAAUCGGACUCAAAGGUAUAUAACAGUAGGCAAAUUUGUCAUCUAUUUUGCCAUGCUGUAUUGGAAGAAAGAAAGAAGCAUUGACCAAGCGUUAUGGCCUAGGCUAAGCACACACCAGAACCUUAGUUGCAGAUGUUUGAAACCUGAAAGAAAGUGGAUUUUCAAGAAAGUGGAGAGAUGGAUAGUAACAAAUACAUUAUUGGCAAUAGGGUUUGCUCAGUAACAGAACAACCAACAUAUUCUAUGAAGCAAAGACAUCAUCGACAAUGAACCAAUGCCUAAUAACAAACACACAAAUUGUAGCAACUAAUGAAAAUAAAACAAAAGAUACAAAAGAGAAUCUAUAAGAUAUAAUGCUAUUGUCAUCACAGAACCAGCACAAACAUGAAUGAUCAUGGAAGGAUGAAAUAACUAAUCAUCAUUGCACAACUCAAUUGUCUCAGUCAGAAAAGGUUCAUCAUUGCACAACCCCAAAACCUCAAUAGGUAACAUGAAGAACGAAAUAAUUCUGCGCAUGAUCCGUAUAUUUGACGAGAGCGACAAGAGUCAACAACCUCCUAGGGGAGGGGGCUGCAGUGAGGAGAUGGGGCCGAGGGAAGGUGAGGGGGAGAAGGGGAGACUGC